rnacentral:rRNA from 1 species
GUGGGGAAUCUUCCGCAAUGGACGAAAGUCUGACGGAGCGACGCCGCGUGAGUGAAGAAGGCCUUCGGGUCGUAAAGCUCUGUCAUCAGGGACGAACGGCCGGUGGAGUGGAAAGCCACCGGAUUGACGGUACCUGAGAAGGAAGCCACGGCUAACUACGUGCCAGCAGCCGCGGUAAUACGUAGGUGGCAAGCGUUGUCCGGAAUUAUUGGGCGUAAAGCGCGCGCAGGUGGGAUCUUAAGUCCAUUUUUAAAGUUCGGAGCUCAACUCCGUGAUGGGAUGGAAACUGGGAUUCUUGAGUACCGGAGAGGAAAGCGGAAUCCCCCGUGUAGCGGUGAAAUGCGUAGAUAUGGGGAGGAACACCAGUGGCGAAGGCGGCUUUCUGGACGGUGUCUGACAUUGAGGCGCGAAAGCCAGGGGAGCGAACGGGAUUAGAAACCCUUGUAGUCC